UCUCCAGCUACGGCAUCUCCGACACCACCCUGGAAGAGAUCUUCCUGAAGGUGGCUGAGGACACGGGGCUGGACACUGACACUGCAGGCACCAGGAGAGGAGCAGCUCCCGGCGAGGUGGGGGACACAGAUGUGGCCGAUGGGGAGCUGGGUAAGGAG